rnacentral:rRNA from 1 species
UACAGAGGGUGCGAGCGUUGUCCGGAAUCACUGGGCGUAAAGGGCGCGUAGGCGGCUUGAUAAGUAGGGGGUGAAAUCUUGCGGCUCAACCGCAAGGCUGCCUUCUAAACUGUCAGGCUGGAGCACGGUAGAGGCAGAUGGAAUUCCCGGUGUAGCGGUGGAAUGCGUAGAGAUCGGGAAGAACACCAGUGGCGAAGGCGGUCUGCUGGGCCGUUGCUGACGCUGAGGCGCGACAGCGUGGGGAGCAAACAGG